CUCUUAGAUCAUAUCAUGAUCUACUUUACGAAAAAUAUCCAUGGGAGGCCUGCGGCAGAGAGACAAAAGGAGGUAUAUUCAGGCGUGCCAAUUACUGUCUGUGGGACUUUCGUUAUUUAUUUACCUCGAUUCCCCCAUUUGCUCUGUGCUGCAGGUUUUCCCUUUAAGAUGAGUUUGAGCUGUCGAUUUUCAGCUUUUUCAAUAUUCUGCUGUAUACGUCUCUUAAGCGUACAAGUUAAAUAUUUCAAAUAGCUGACAUGUUAACCAAUUUUAAACAGACUGAACAUCAUGUCAUCUGUAGCUUGAGUCUUGGGUCAGUACAGGCAAAGUGUAUUAUUCCCUACAACGGGAAUAUUAU